AUUGAACGCUGGCGGCAGGCCUAACACAUGCAAGUCGAGCGAGCGGCGGACGGGUGAGUAAUGUAUGGGGAUCUGCCCGAUAGAGGGGGAUAACUACGGGAAACGGUGGCUAAUACCGCAUACUAUCGGAUGAACCCAUAUGGGAUGAGCUAGUAGGUGGGGUAAAGGCUGACCUAAGCGACGAUCUCUAGCUGGUCUGAGAGGAUGAUCAGCCACACUGGAGCUGAGACACGGCCCAGACUCCUACGGGAGGCAGCAGUGGGGAAUAUUGCCCAAUGGGCACAAGCCUGAUGCAGCCAUGCCGCGUGUAUGAAGAAGUCCUUAGGGUUGUAAAGUACUUUCAGCGGGGAGGCGUUACCCGCAGAAGAUGCACCGGCUAACUCCGUGCCAGCAGCCGCGGUAAUAC
rnacentral:rRNA from 1 species